rnacentral:lncRNA from 1 species
AUCAGUGUAAUCUCCCAUGUACUCCUUCAGCUUAACCUUCACUCUCUCUUUCAACUUCACAACUCCUUCCUCACUGAAAUCACCAUUGAAGGUCCGAUCAUCAUCGUCGCUUCCCAUCGAGAUCGUAUCAAAAAAAAACCUAACUUUUCCGCCGCAAUGACACAACAGAGAAACAACAAAAUCAGUAUAAACCCUAAGACUCAAUUCGAGAACGGAGAGAUUUAAACAACCUCCGGUCCGUGGGGAUGUUUAGGGUUUGGUUCUCUGUCUGUCGGGGAAGAAUCCAAAGAGCGCACUCGCUCGAUUUUAUCAGAAAGGGAUUUUUCGCUUCGGCUUCCACAGACGGAACGAAUUAGACAGAGAGAAACUGAACAAAAAUAAAUAAAAUUAUAAGUCCUUUCGUAAAAUCUUUUAUAAACCCAAACACACAGGAGGUUUAUGCUCCUAAUGGGCUGGGUCGAAAUUUAUUGGGCCGAAUCAAUGUGGGUAGUAGUGUGCUAUGCUACGGUUGUAGUAGUAUUUUUAUGAUACGGUACUAAAAGCAUGUUUAUCGGUAAAACCCACGUAAGGGCUCUUAGUGAUUUUUUUAAUAUUUAAGUGAAGUUAAGUUAUUUUGUUAAGAGAUACUUAAUGUUAGUGGUUUAUUGCUAGUAUCUUAAUUAGGAAUUCUUAACAAUAAAAAAAUUAUUAAAUAUAAUUUUAUUCCAAUAGAGGUUUUCUUCUUCCUCGGUCAUGGAUUUUUCGAAGGACGCGUCCUGCCGAGCGGACUGGCUUCGCGUUCUUCUUGGGUGGAUGUCAGCACCGUCGUCCGAGUGAUCGGACUGGUCGCUUAUAUCCAGGUCGAUGCGCUCGAUUUCUUCUCCUUCGUUGCUCCCGGUAGGAGGUGGAAGGUUCUCCGCAGUUGGCUAUGCACCUGGCUCAGCUCGAUUGCCCGGAGUUUCGAAAUCAAGUCUUAUGCCGCUGCGGCCUCUUGUGGUUCCGCGCGGGGCUUUUCUCCUGGUCUUCGCCGUUAAGGUUUCCACCUGUUUUGCGAGAGAGGCCACGAGUUUUCCUUGUUCGUCCGUCUUUUUAUGAGCGCAGGCGAACAUUUCCUUCAUUUGGUCUAGUAUCGCGGUGUCGGCAGUGACCGUUGAUACGUUUCCAGCUGGAGUUUUAUCAGCGUUGGCAUAGACAAGAGUCCCGUCGUGCGUUUGCGGGUCUUUGUCAGCGUUGGUCUUCAUAUCGGACUGAGCGUGUGUGGUUGCGAGAGAGAUAGAUCCGUACCCUUCCCUCCUUCUAGCGCCAAACUGUGGGAACCGAAAUUCACACCGUCGAGUUUUUUUAAUCGGAGGAAAGCCAAGUUACUGAAAUCACCAUUGAAGGUCCGAUCAUCAUCGUCGCUUCCCAUCGAGAUCGUAUCAAAAAAAAACCUAACUUUUCCGCCGCAAUGACACAACAGAGAAACAACAAAAUCAGUAUAAACCCUAAGACUCAAU